CCGCGGCCGCUGCAGAGUUUGAUCCUGGCUCAGAGUGAACGCUGGCGGCGUGCCUAAUACAUGCAAGUCGAACGAUGAAGCCUAGCUUGCUAGGUGGAUUAGUGGCGCACGGGUGAGUAACGCAUAGAUGACAUGCCCUUUAGUUUGGGAUAGCCACUAGAAAUGGUGAUUAAUACCAAAUACUACCCUACGGGGGAAAGAUUUAUCGCUAAAGGAUUGGU
rnacentral:rRNA from 1 species